rnacentral:snRNA from 1 species
UGAUGUGAGAGUGAUUUGGCUGCAACUUCUGUCACCCUACAGAUCUCCAGGGUAGAUUCAGCUGAUCUGGCUGGCUAGGCUGAUGUCGCUUCCCCUCUCAUUGCUCCAUGUAUAUCCCACCUGAUGCUGGGGGCCCAGGCAAAGAAGAUGACCACGCCCAUAGAGAAGAACCAUUCCUCAGUCAAGGGUGUAUGAGUAGCAGUUCUCUCCUGCUAGAACCUCCCAGAAGCUCUUAAAAAUGCAUAUGAUGAUCAGUUGAUCAGUACUGAAUAGCUUUUUGGUUUGUUUGUUUUUCAUUUAAUAAGACAGUGUCUUGCUAU